UACGAAGGGUGCAAGCGUUACUCGGAAUUACUGGGCGUAAAGCGUGCGUAGGUGGUUUGUUAAGUCUGUUGUGAAAGCCCCGGGCUCAACCUGGGAAUGGCAAUGGAUACUGGCAAGCUAGAGUGCGGUAGAGGGUAGUGGAAUUCCCGGUGUAGCGGUGAAAUGCGUAGAGAUCGGGGAGGAACACCAGUGGCGAAGGCGGCG
rnacentral:rRNA from 1 species